AAUUAUAUGAGCUUUGUGAUAACAGAUAAGGUGUUUGACAGAAUUCCUAAAAGAAAUAAUGUUUUAUUGAGUUGUUUAUUUGUUCUGACCGAUUUUGUAGUUGUUCUUAAAAUACAUAUGGCUAGUGUCUGCUAAUUGUUUGAUUUAAUGUCACAUCAUUAUAUAUAUAGCCAUGUAAUAGAGGCCAAUUUAGGUUAGCAAAGGAUUAGUUCUUUGUCAUUGCUCUGUCUAUUCCUACGAUUAUGCUAGAACCCGUCUUGCAAAUGAUGUAAAGACUGCAAAGAAGGAUGGAGAGAGGCAGUUCAAUGGAUUGGUUGAUGCUCCUUAAGUGAGCUUGUUCCCUUUGUGGGUUGUGCUUUUUCAUGGGUUGUAAGGUUCCUCAUUAUAAACUAGUAUCUUCUUUCCAUUUUCCAGUCCAGUUGAUAAGGCCCAUAUGAAGCUUGCUGGAGCAAAGUCUAUUCUUCGAUUAUCUAGAUAUUGGGAUCAAAAAGAUUCCCGUUGAUCUCUUCUACUCUACCCUAAGAAUUUUCGAGGUUAAGUCUUUAGCAUUUGAACUUAAAUAUAAAUAUAUAAAAUGAUAAUAUAUAUUUUUAAUAUAUAUACACCAGCAACUAGCCGUUGGAAUAGAUGAAGUGCCACGUCCUCUGCCAGCUCAGAUUUCCGUCCAAUCAUUUUAUUGCUAAUUAAUGGAGUGAUAUUUUUUCUUAAAUAAAUGUUUUAAAUGAUAUACUUUUUUUUUUGUGUGGUCUAAUUGAGAUUUCGGAGUGAAUUGGGUGGUUUAAUUGAUAUAAAACCCAUAUAUAAAAUGAUAAUAUAUAUUGUACUUUUUUAAUAUUCACUUGUGUUCUCCUUGCACGUUGUUGCAUACCUUAUUAUUGAAAUAUUACAAAUAGAUUAUGUUUUGAUCCUUUUGCUUGACACAUGUAGGUUGAUUUUCCUCAAGUUGAAAAACAAUUUCUGAGAAAUGUUCACCCAUACAUUAGGGAUCGCCUUUUGGACCCCAAAUAUGCUUGUGCAUUCUUAUCUAAUGAAAUCUAACAAUCUUUCUGCAACCAGAAUCAAUGUGUAUUUUGUAUCACUAACUGCUAGUCUUGCUUAGUGAUGAUUAUAUACAAUGACUGAAUAUAAAGUUUGUCAUGCCAGCUGGAGAGUAAUGGAAUGCCAGCUGGAGAGAGUGGUGGAAUAUGGCAUGGAUCACAUGUAUUGCAGCAUACUAAAGCUUAACCUGG
rnacentral:lncRNA from 1 species